rnacentral:ncRNA from 1 species
UUUUUUGAGUAUUUUAGUUUGAUACUACUUCACACCUCAAAAGGAAGAGAAUUUAUCGAUGCAAACUUUUUUUUCUCAACAAUGAAGUAAGACCAAGUUCAUAAGCACAUUAUUUUAGACCGGAAUUAGUUGAUAAGAUCAACUAUACUAGUACUGAAAUAUGGCCUAGAUUCUUAUUGGAAGCAGUGAUGGAAAAUUUUCUAUAAUGGGCGAACGCCUACAAAAGCAAUGUUGUGUGGAGAUAGAAGAUCUAUUAGUCGUGAACUUUUCCUCCCUGAGAAGAAAUAAUGACAAUAUCUAAAGAAUAAGCAUUUGUUAACUCUGUGCUAGUAGUUGUAAUAAUCUAAAUAAUGAAAGCGUUAUCUGAAAUAAUUGGGUGUAAAACGUCCAUCUAUUACAUCCCAAAAUUAAACCGUAGACAAGUGAUGGAAACUGCAAAGCUGAAGUACAGUAGACGCAAAGAGAAUUUCUAGUAAAGGAAUAAAAUGCAUAAAGAUCGGAAACAAUACCAACAAGGAAAGCACUUUGCUAGACCGAUAAUAACACUGAGAGGCAAAAGUUAAGGAAGCAAUUGUGAUUAGAUACCCUGAUAGUCCUAGCUGCUGAGUUGUGUGUAUGGCCCUGUGCGGUGUCGUAGCAAAGAGAAUUUAUUUG